CACGUAGGCACCAAGCGUUGUCCGGAUUUAUUGGGCGUAAAGAGCUCGUAGGCGGUUCGGUAAGUCGGGCGUGAAAACUCUGGGCUCAACCCAGAGCCGCCACCCGAUACUGCUGUGACUCGAGUGCGGUAGGGGAGCGGGGAAUUCCUGGUGUAGCGGUGAAAUGCGCAGAUAUCAGGAGGAACACCAGUGGCGAAGGCGCCGCUCUGGGCCGUGACUGACGCUGAGGAGCGAAAGCGUGGGUAGCAAACAGG
rnacentral:rRNA from 1 species